AGAUGUGAGGGCGAUCUGGCUGUGCCAUCUGUCGCACCUUUAUCACCAGGGUUGAUUCCACUGAUCUGGCUGGCUAGGCAGGUGCCCCUUUCCAACCUCACCACUCCAUGUGCGUCCUUCCUGAAGCUGUGCACUCUGUGCAAGAAGAGACUGACCUUGCCCAAAUAGAGACCUACUGGUCUUCCCUUGAGGGUAUAGGAAUAACUGCGCGCCCCUGCUAGAACCUCCAAACAAGCUCUCAAGGUUCAUAUAUUAGGAAUAUAAAGAUUAGGACUCCCAGUAUUUGUAUAUGCUCUACGUUAUGUUUUACUGAGUUUACUAU
rnacentral:snRNA from 1 species